AGGAAAAUAGUUUAAAAAAAACAUUUGAAUUGCAAUCAAAAAAUAUUAUUAAUUAAUUUUUCUUA
rnacentral:tRNA from 1 species